UCAGACAAACUGAAAGCAAAAUAGAGU
rnacentral:piRNA from 1 species